AUGCACGCUGGCGGCGUGCCUCAUCCCUGCAAGUCGCGCGCACAGACGAGGAGCUUGCUCCUCUGACGUUAGCGGCGGACGGGUGAGUAACACGUGGAUAACCUACCUAUAAGACUGGGAUAACUUCGGGAAACCGGAGCUAAUACCGGAUAAUAUAUUGAACCGCAUGGUUCAAUAGUGAAAGACGGUUUUGCUGUCACUUAUAGAUGGAUCCGCGCCGCAUUAGCUAGUUGGUAAGGUAACGGCUUACCAAGGCGACGAUGCGUAGCCGACCUGAGAGGGUGAUCGGCCACACUGGAACUGAGACACGGUCCAGACUCCUACGGGAGGCAGCAGUAGGGAAUCUUCCGCAAUGGGCGAAAGCCUGACGGAGCAACGCCGCGUGAGUGAUGAAGGUCUUCGGAUCGUAAAACUCUGUUAUUAGGGAAGAACAAAUGUGUAAGUAACUAUGCACGUCUUGACGGUACCUAAUCAGAAAGCCACGGCUAACUACGUG
rnacentral:rRNA from 1 species